UACGGAGGAUGCAAGUGUUAUCCGGAAUCACUGGGCGUAAAGCGUCUGCAGGUGGUUUCCUAAGUCCACUGUUAAACCUUGAGGCUCAACCUCAAAUCUGCAUUGGAAACUAGGAGACUUGAGUAUAGUAGGGGUAGAGGGAAUUUCCAGUGGAGCGGUGAAAUGCGUAGAUAUUGGAAAGAACACCGAUUGCGAAGGCACUCUACUGGGCUAUUACUGACACUCAGAGACGAAAGCUAGGGGAGCAAAUGGG
rnacentral:rRNA from 1 species